UAACGAAUCUUCCGCAAUGCACGAAAGUGUGACGGAGCGACGCCGCGUGGAGGACGAAGUUCUUCGGAAUGUAAACUCCUGUCAGGGGUUAGAAAGUUCUGAUCAACCCCAGAGGAAGGCACGGCUAACUCUGUGCCAGCAGCCGCGGUAAGACAGAGGUGCCAAGCGUUAGGCGGAAUCACUGGGCUUAAAGCGUGUGUAGGUGGACUGGUUAGUACCUUGUGAAAUCCCACGGCUCAACCGUGGAACUGCUUGGUAUACUGCUGGUCUUGAGCAACCUAGGGGUCAGUGGAACAAAUGGUGGAGCGGUGAAAUGCGUAGAUAUCAUUUGGAACGCCAAUGGUGAAAACAACUGACUGGGGGUUUGCUGACACUGAGACACGAAAGCCAGGGGAGCAAACGGGAUUAGAUACCCCGGUAGUCC
rnacentral:rRNA from 1 species